UGCCUUACACAUGCAAGUCGAACGGCAGCACGGGAGCAAUCCUGGUGGCGAGUGGCGAACGGGUGAGUAAUAUAUCGGAACGUGCCCAGUCGUGGGGGAUAACGUAGCGAAAGCUACGCUAAUACCGCAUACGAUCUACGGAUGAAAGCGGGGGACUCGUAAGGGCCUCGCGCGAUUGGAGCGGCCGAUAUCAGAUUAGGUUGUUGGUGAGGUAAAAGCUCACCAAGCCUGCGAUCUGUAGCUGGUCUGAGAGGACGACCAGCCACACUGGAACUGAGACACGGUCCAGACUCCUACGGGAGGCAGCAGUGGGGAAUUUUGGACAAUGGACGCAAGUCUGAUCCAGCAAUGCCGCGUGCAGGACGAAGGCCUUCGGGUUGUAAACGGC
rnacentral:rRNA from 1 species